rnacentral:sRNA from 1 species
UGGACUACAUCUCCCAAUUCACCACCGA